rnacentral:rRNA from 1 species
UAGGGAAUCUUCCACAAUGGGCGCAAGCCUGAUGGAGCAACGCCGCGUGAGUGAAGAAGGGUUUCGCUCGUAAAGCUCUGUUGUUGGAGAAGAACGUGCGUGAGAGUAACUGUUCACGCAGUGACGGUAUCCAACCAGAAAGUCACGGCUAACUACGUGCC